rnacentral:rRNA from 1 species
UACAUAGGGUGCGAGCGUUACUCGGAAUUACUGGGCGUAAAGCGCACGUAGUCGGCUUUGCAAGUCGGUUGUGAAAUCCCCGGGCUCAACCUGGGAACUGCAUCCGAGACUGCAUUGCUAGAGUAUGGGUGAGGAAAGCGGAAUUUCUGGUGUAGCAGUGAAAUGCGUAGAUAUCAGAAGGAACAUCAGUGGCGAAGGCGGCUUUCUGGACCAAUACUGACGAUCAGGUGCGAAAGCGUGGGGAGCAAACAGG